AGCGAACGCUGGCGGUAGGCUUAACACAUGCAAGUCGAACGGCAGCACAGUAAGAGUUUGGUCUUACGGGUGGCGAGUGGCGGACGGGUGAGGAAUAUAUCGGACUCUAUUCUUUCGUGGGGGUUAAGGUAGGGAAACUUACGCUAAUACCGCAUACGAUCUACGGGUGAAAGCAGGGGAUAUUUGGACCUUGCGCGAUUGAAUGCGCCGAUGUUGGAUUAGCUAGUUGGGGGGGUAAUGGCCCACCAAGGCGACGAUCCGUAGCUGGUGGGGGUGGAUGAUCGGCCGCACGAGAACUGGACCGCGGUCCAUGCUCCUACGGGAGGCAGCAGUGGGGAAUAUUAGACAGUGGUGGCAAGCCUGAUCCAACCGUACCGCGUGGGUUGAAGAAACCUUCGGGUUGUAAAGCCCUUUUGUUGGUAAAAAAAAGCAUCAGGUUAAUACCCCGCGGGUCUGACGGUACCCAAAAAAUAAGCACCGGCUAACUUCGUG
rnacentral:rRNA from 1 species